GUCUCACUGGACGCUUUCGAGAAUGAAAUACUUUCAGUGUAUUAUAUUGUAUUUCGAUUAUAUUAACUUUACAGUGUAUUCAGCUGAUUAACGGUGUGCUAAUGAAUUGUAACGAAUUGUAACGAUGUUGUAAGUGAAAUGGAAUAAACAACCGAUGAGCUGUGCUCAUUCGAGUUCUAGACGUUAACAAAACAAGUCCUUUAUUUUAAAACAUAUCAACUGGCGACGACAGGAUAAAAAAAAGGUGCUUUUUACAUAGUUCUACUAUUGUGUGGAAAAUCGUACUUUCCAUUGUGCAGUGGAUAGUGGCCAUCAUUUCGGAGGAAAUCCAUAAAAAAAAACGUAUACUUGCAAGUUGGGACCGGAAUUGAAAGAAGAGUAAGGUUAGAAGGAACGUUUUUGGACCUAAGAGGAGUGUUUUGGACCAUCCCGAGCCAUACUCUUGCGCUUGGUGCCCGUUUGUAAGCUGGUAAUAAUCGAGAAUCGUCUGCUAACUGGCACGAUACCAGCGGAACAAGGCAUUUGUUCGUUAAGCUGAAGAGAAUAUCCGGAUUACUGUUCGGACGAGUGCGACCGUGCGCCCAUUACGAUCUGUUUUGGAGUUGUCUCUGGCUAACUGGCUUGUGAAGGUUGAACACCGGAAGAUUUGGUGGAAAUUGGAAGCGUGCAAACCACUGCUCAUCGCACACAGAUCCGUCUGUUUAAUGACCCGGAUUCAACAAGACCAAACAUCUCGCUUCCUACGCCCAGCACACAAGACAUGGCCAUUUCAAGUACCUCUCCGGUUAAUAUCGGCAGUGAACAUCAUCGAGGCCCUCAAGAUGAUCCUCCCAAUCCGGGAGUCAAGCGUAAACGCGAGCAACAUCAGUCGAGCUCAGAGCUGCGACGGUCUAAGCGAAUAAAGCAGGUCAAAUCUGAUUCGGAUUUUGUAUAUUACGAUCGAUAGUAAGAUAUUUUGAAUUCCAUUAUAAUGUAAAGCCAAGUUCAUUCAGAAUCAAUUAUAGAAUCACUUCGGAAGGGGGAAGAAGUUGUAGUGUCUCACUGGACGCUUUCGAGAAUGAAAUACUUUCAGUGUAUUAUAUUGUAUUUCGAUUAUAUUAACUUUACAGUGUAUUCAGCUGAUUAACGGUGUGCUAAUGAAUUGUAACGAAUUGUAACGAUGUUGUAAGUGAAAUGGAAUAAACAACCGAUGAGCUGUGCUCAUUCGAGUUCUAGACGUUAACAAAACAAGUCCUUUAU